CCUUCCGCGCUUCGCUGCGUGAGGUGCGUGAUCCGGAACCUUUACUUUGAGAAAAAUAGAGUGUUUCAAGCAGGCUUGUCGCCCUGAAUACUGCAGCAUGGAAUAAUAAGAUAGGACGUUGGUUCUAUUUUGUUGGUUUCUAGGACCAAUGUAAUGAUUAAUAGGGACAGUUGGGGGCAUUCGUAUUUAACUGUCAGAGGUGAAAUUCUUAGAUUUGUUAAAGACGAACUACUGCGAAAGCAUUUGCCAAGGAUGUUUUCAUUAAUCAAGAACGACAGUAGGGGGUUUGAAG
rnacentral:rRNA from 1 species